CAAUCCCUGGUCGGGGAACUAAGAUCCCACGUGCCGCGGGGCAACUAAGCCUGCGCGCCAGAACUAGAGAGAAGCCCGUGCACCUCAAUGAAGCGAAGAGCCUGUCUGUGCACCACAACGAAAGAUUCUGCGUGCUGCAACUAAGACCCAACAGACCCCCGCCCAAAAAAAAAGACAUCCAGGGUUGAGCAGCCUACAUAGUCAGAAAUUUCCAGACGGUACAUUUUCUAUCUAAACAGGAUGGCUCUUCUCUCUGUUGGAAUGCGCAGUAAGUAUUUUAGGAAGAACGGUGAUACAACAUCAAAGAAUGACCUGUGGUGUACACCAGCCCCACGCCAGGAGUGCUGUGGGCUUGUGACUCUUUCCUUUGCUCGAAUUCCUCUAAGGGACAGACCUGCCUUCCUCAUUUCCGAUGAGGAAACUGAGGCACAGAGAGGUCAACUGACCUCCCCGAAGUCUGCCCUGACCCCCAACCCACACCAUGCCCGUAGCCGCUCAGUCCCUGGUCCAGGCUGGUUCUCAGAGCUGGGAGCCAGGUGAGCAGGCCUGAGACUUUUCGGGGCGUCUGUCUACCCCGGCAGCCCGGCAGGUGGAUUCCCGAGCCUUGAGUUCACACCUGGUCUCUUGUGCAUCCCAUAUGAAAACCGGACAAGCCUUGAGACGGACUGCAUUAGGCAAACAGUGUUUUGCUUUCCGAUUUCAAAACUGAAAAGCCCCAUUGAAUGAGCUCACCAAGGCAAACGUGCUUGCUAUCUCCUGUGUUGACAGUUGACCCCAGAGAAGGGGUUUCCCUGGAGAGAAGUCCCUCAGCCUCACCUUGCACGGUGGUGGUCCUUCCAGCCAGGCGGAGGUGGCCUGAACUGGGAUAACUCCUUUGCCCUCAGAUACACCUGCAGCCGUCCUCACUUGCUGCGGUGGUUUCGUCUUGGUUGUGGGGUUGGCCUUCUGUUUUCCUGAUCGAGCCGCAGGGACCUCCCUUCCCAAGGGUGUGGUGCUUUUGUACGUGUGGUUUCAUUCGUUCACUUGACAACAACGUAUUGGUCGGCUGUCGUUGUGUCUGGCACCGUUCUAGCCUCAGAGAGCCCCCUCCCUGGUGGUGCUCCGACAGGGACACCCCCUCCACGUCCACCUUGGCCAUGGCUCAGAUGUCACCACCUCCCGACACCCUGGAGGCUGCCCACUGCCUCUCAUGACCUUGACACUGCCCCUCCCCCUGCGAUGCCACAUCUGGGCGGAGCCUCUGUUCCCCACCCCGGGACCACAAGCCAUGCCAUACAGGACUUCCGAAUCUCUUGUGUCCAGUCAAGGCCAGAGAGGAGUGACCACUGUUGCCAGGAGAGGCUGCGAAUGGGUAGGUGUGCCAGCCACUGUUCUAGAGGCUCUCGGUUAAACGUCCCCUUCUCCCAAAGGGGGCCAGGGCAGUGCUGGGGCCGGGAGAAGACUCCAACACUCAGACAUGGAAGGCCCGGCUGGGAAGCCAGUACCGUGGACACCACCCCGGCUGCUGGACACUGUCACCUGUACACACCAGCGGGGCCACCAGCUGGAGCCCGGGCAGUGGCAGGAAAUAUUUCAGAGGAAGAGACAAUAGGAUAUGGUGAUAGCGAGUAUGCAGGUGAUAGAGUAAAGCACCAAAGACCAGUGGUGAUGGCUCAGCCGACCAAAAUGGAGAAGUAGGAGAGGGCAGAGGAUCCCACGUUACAUUCGGUCCUCACAUCUCCUUGACGGCUCCACGCCAGGUUUCUCGGACUCGUUUUUUGAGAUCUUGACAGUUUUAAGGAGGACAGGUUGAGUAUAUUGUAAGAUGUCCUUCAAUCUGGGUAUCUUUGAUGCUUCUCUCCCACUGCCUGUUUUUUGCAAAUAAAG